rnacentral:lncRNA from 1 species
AGGGAAGAUGGAAAGAUUGAGGACUUGGAGAUAGAGAAGCUAAAUUAGCCUUAAUGAAAUAUAAUGGAUAUAGAAACCAGGGUAUCCUAAUAUGUAGUUCCACACAAUCAGAUCUGGAAAUUAAAAGAGUAAAAAUUGCUAUGUAAAAUUUCAUUACUUGUUUGAAUGGGAAAGAAACAAAGUCAUUACUUGCCAGUAUGAAACCUUGUUUCAGGAAAAGGGCUGUGUGCCUUCACAGAAAUCUAACUCUUUGGAAUGCUGACAGCUGGGAGGACACGAGGAAAUUUUUACUUCUCUCACCAAUGCUGCCGAGAAGUUUUUACUUCUCUCACCAAUGCCGCCGACUCAGCACUCCUGGAACUGCUCCAUGUUGGUGUCAGAAGCGGGAUCCGAAGUGGAACUUCUAGCAGCCCCCCAGGACCACUGCAUGACCCACUUGUGUCCAUUGAUCUCUCAGAGCAGUUGGGGAUCCUGGGACAAUCCCUUCAUGAUCUAGAGCCUGAAGGUAGGAUCUUCUGAGAACAUCAGAAAAAGACUAUCUCUACCAUCCACACUACAGCAAAACUUUGGAGCCUUGAACCUUGGGUUCAUAAUCUCACAAUGGAGAAGGGUCCCUCCACACUCCUAGAACUGUACAUACAUUGGAACCCUUAAGGUAAAACUAACCAGGAAAGUUUCUCCCCAGAAGAAGAUGGCAUCCUUGAUGUAAACUGCUUUUCCCAAGAUCACUAAUCAAGACUUCUACUAUUGAGAGACUUAUCUUUGAAUAUAUUUUCCUUGUUUAUGUCUCUGAACAAUAGAAAUGAAAAGGGGGUCUAUUAUGUGCAUUUAUUUAUAGGGUGUAUUUUUAUUUGUGAGGGAUUUUGCAGCCAGCCUUACACAUGAAUUACCAUAUACUUUAAUAGAUAAAAGAUGAAGGCCCAAUGUAGGUGAGAAACUUUGGGGGUACAUAUGUUGCCUCAUAAUCAGUCAAAACACCUCUUAACCCACAUCAUGGAUUAGAGAGAACCUUGCCAGGAGACCUUCACUCUUCUAGAAGGACAUCAUUUGUUAGGUCCUUUUUUCAUGGUUUAGAAUAAAAUAGGCAAUAAUUAGAAAUGUCACCCUCACAAUAAGCUCUAGUAGAAUUUACACAUCAAUACAUCAAUACACAGACAACAGACUUUAAAUUCUCUUGUGAAAGAUAUGCUAAAUAAUAGAAUUGGCUAAACAUAAAAGUACUUGCACAGCUACUGACAGUUGUGGCCUAUGGAGAAGUACAUCAAAUGUAAAUUAUACAAUUUCAGUUGCGGAGGAUUAAUGAAAAGACCACUUAGUCAAGCGAGUAGACUCUUCAUCUAGCUCAUUCUUUAAUCUAUUUAAUUUUAUGUGGUUUGGUUUAUGGGGACCCUUGGUAAGGAGCAUACUCCGAACUCUUGCAUUAUCCUCCCAAUAGUUAUAAUAAUAGUCUCUCUGGGGCACUGUACUCUCUCAAAGGUUUUAAAUGUUUGCAAGCAGCCAUCUCUAGAAUGUCAAAUGGUUUCUUUUCAACUGGAAUGACAAAAGCUGAAAGAAAUGUGUGACCAUGAGGACACCAUAACCUAUGAAUCACAUGCUUAGACCAGAAACCCAAAAUGAUGGUAACUGAGAGUGGCGCUAAGGCCCUAAGUUUUGGUCACACUCUCACCUACGUGAGAACUUGGCCAAGGCCAAAAGGGUUUUUUUUUUUUUUUGGACAGAGUUUCACUCUUGUUGCCCAGGCGGGAGUGCAAUGGCACAACCUCCGCUCACCACAACCUCUGCCUCCAGGCUCAAGCAAAUCUCUUACCUCAGCCUCCUGAGUAUCUGGGAUUACAGGCAUCCACCACCAUGACUGGCUAAAUUUGUAUUUUUGAUAGAGACAGGGUUUCUCCAUGUUGGUCAGGCUGGUCUCGAACUCCCGACCUCAGGUGAUCCACCCUCCUCGGCCUCCCAAAGUGUUGGGAUUACAGGCUUGAGCUACCGUGCCAGGUCGGGGAUUUUUUUUUGUAAACAAAAUUAUGGGAGACCAUUAUUUUGGACUGAGCUCAUACACUAGACCCCAACAAACCAAACCAAACUAAAAUGGAGUCACUCAUGCUAAAUGUGACAUAAUCAAACUAAGGCUUUAAGAAAACACAUAGAUUCUAGAACAGACCAGGUUUUGUUUUUCUCCUGUAAACAGGAUGUUCCAGCAUAAGGAGGUACCCUCUACUCAGUCCUUAUUCCCUUCUUUCAAAACCCACUGUUCUACUGUUUCCCAGUGGAUUUCAAAACCAUUUAAGUACAUUUACGAUAGUGAUAGUAACAUCAAUGGCCAAGAUUUUGGUCAAUCUCUCAAAACCGAGAAAAUGACAAAAGGAGGGAAUUGUUAAAGCAAACUAAAUAUGGUCUGAGAAGGACCCCAUACUUCCAUAUUUGAGUCUUUGUGGAUGAACUGUAACCUAACUUAAUAGUCAGAUAAAAUUGAAAACCUAACUUAAUAGUAUGCACCUGUAACAAUGACUGAGUGUUGGCCAAUCCCAGUGGCCAUACUUCAACCACUGAUAGACUGCUGAAUGUUCAAACUGUGUUCAAAUAGGGCAAAUGCCGAGUUGUAACCUAUCUUACUGUUUCUGUCCCUCACUUCCGAUUCCUGUAUGUCAUUUUACCUUUUUUGUCUAUAAAUUUGUUCUGACCACAAGGCACCCCUGGAAUCUCUGUGAAUCUGCUGUGAUUCUGAGGGCUGCCGAAUUCAUGAAUUGUUCAUUGCUCAAUUAAACUAUUUUAAAUUUAAUU